rnacentral:rRNA from 1 species
GACGAACGCUGGCGGCGUGCUUAACACAUGCAAGUCGAACGGAAAGGCCCUGCUCUUGUGGGGUGCUCGAGUGGCGAACGGGUGAGUAACACGUGUGUAACCUGCCCCUGACUUUGGGAUAACUUCUGGAAACUGGGGCUAAUACCGGAUAGGAGCUCCUGAUGCAUGGUGGGGGUUGGAAAGUUUCGGCGGUUGGGGAUGGACUCGCGGCUUCUCAGCUUGUUGGUGAGGUAGUGGCUGACCAAGGCUUUGACGGAUAGCCGGCCUGAGAGGGUGACCGGCGACAAGGGGACUGAGGGACGGCGCAGUAGCGAACGGGAGGCAGCAGUGGAAAGUAUUGCGCAGUGGGCGGAAGCCUGAGACAGCAGCGCCGCGAGCGUGAUGACGGCCUUCGAGGUAUAAACCGCUGUCGCCGGUAACAAGGCGGGAGUGACGGUAAUGGGUAAGGAAGCACCGGCUAACUACGUG